CCACCUAGAAGUUACCUCAAUCCUCUCCUAUAUACACCAUAUCUAUUACAAUAUAUUUGUACACAUAUUGGGCCAUUUGGGCCAGAAAAAAAUAACAGAUGUUAUUUACAAAUGCUGCUACUCGGUUUGGGCUGUGCAGAUGGCCCAUAACUUCAACACUCUGACUGGGCUGUGCAGAUGGCCCAACAACUCCAACACCCCCCUGCAAGUUGGAGGGUGACUGAACUCCCAACUUGAGCAAGAUAGAGUGAUGCAAAAUGCCAGU
rnacentral:lncRNA from 1 species